rnacentral:misc_RNA from 1 species
AUCAGAGGUUAUUCAAGUGAAAGAUUUAGAGAAGCCGGAGAAUCCUUUCAAUAAGAGAAGAAGGAUUUUAAUGGCGUCGAAAUGGUCGAGAAAAGCUUCUUUCUACUACUGGCCAAACCCUAAAUCGAUGCCUCUGUUGGCCCUGAACGAAAACGAAGAAGAAGGUCAUAAAGAAGCGGCUGCCGGUUCCGAUUCAGCUGACGGAGAUGGAGAAAGCGAUGGAGAAGAUGAAGCGAACCAACGAAGAAGACGAACCCUAGGGCAAAGGUUUCAUGAUCGGAAGCUCGUUAAUGGUUUCAAAUCCAAGAGCUGUUUUGAUCUUCAAG